CUUUUUUUCUCUCAGUCUUUGUACAUUUCUGUAGAAAGCUUCUCUCUCUAUUUCUCUGUGUGACGGUAAAGAGGCGUGAACUAAUCCGUCUGUCAUCAUAUAGGAAGUAGAGGGGUACGUCAGAAGAACUGUAGUUCAGAGUUCCAGCAGGACAGAAUGGAGUCCACUUUGAUCUGUGUGUUACUCUUGCUGAAUACACCCAUCAACUCUGGACACUCUGAAGAUGAUGAUGGUAGAUAUUUGUUCUUCAAGCCUCCAUCUCUUAAAGUUGAUUUUGGUUGGACAUAUUUGAGUUUUUGUGUCUCGAAAUAACAUGUGAAAGACAAUUGUAUCAUCCUGGUUUGAUUUUGUGCAGGAGUGGCGAAGGCUGUUCUGAUCAUACACCCCAACAGCUCCCAGAUAUUCAGUGGAGAGUCUGUCCCUCUCAGAUGUGACAUACAGGGGGGAGGAGUCACUGACAGGGAGUACAGAUGGUUAACACCCAGUUCAGAUCAAUGUCCACAGAAAGAACAUGAAUGUAUUUGUUUUCCCACAGUGGUGACGACAGAUGUCUGGCUUUACAUCAGCAGCAGGAUUCUAAAUGGAGUGAUGUAGUCAGACUGACAGUGACACGUACGUCAUCUUAUCUCUCAAUCACAUCUGUGCCUCCGUUCUUAUAACCAGAUUGCUAGAGAAUUUAAUGUUUAUUUUUCCACCAUAAGCCACCUCCAACGUUGUUUCAGAGAACCGUCUUCACAACUACGUGUAACCACGUCAGCCCAGGACUUCCACAUCCGGCUUCUUCACCUGUGGGAUGGUCUGAGACAAGCCACCCAGACACCUGAUGAAACUCUGGGUUUCCACCAAAAAAUGUGUCAGAAGCUGUCUCAGGGAAACUUAUCUGUUUGCUCGUCGUGUUCACCAGGGUCUUGAACUGACUGCUCUUUGGUGUUGUAACGGACUUCAGAGGACAAUGCUCACCUAACGGUUAAAACUGUAUUGGGUAUGGCAUCCUGUUUGUGAGCGGUUUGCUUUUGUCAACGUUGUGAACAGAGUGCCCCAUGGUGGCAGUGUUUUUAAUUGUAUAUUAAUUAUUGUUUUUUACAUACAUUUAUUUAACUAGCAAGUCAGUUAAGAACAAAUUCUAAUUUACAAUGAAAGCCUAGGAACCGUGGGUUAACUGCCUUGUUCCGGGGUGUAAUGACAGGUUUUUACCUUGUCAGCACGGAGAUUUAAUCCAGCAGCCUUUCGGUUACUCGCCCAACAUUCUAACCGUUAUGGUAGGGGCAGGCAGAAGCUAUGGACAACUAACACAAUUUCAUUUUUAUUGGCAAUUUGAGAUCCUGAGACCCAUUGUAUGCCAUUAAUCCGCCCCCUUCAUCUCAUGUUUCAGCAUGAUAAUGCAUGGCCCUAUGUCUCAAGGAUAUGUACACAUUUCCUGGAAGCUGAAAAUGUCCCAGUGGCCUGCAUACUCACCAGACAUGUCAGCCAUUGAGCUUUCCUUGGGAUAUUCUGGAACGACAUCUACAACAGUGUGUUCCAGUUCCCGCCAGUAUCCAGCAACUUCGCACAGCCAUUGAAGAGGAGUGGGACAACAUUCCACAGGCCACAAUCAACAGCCUGAUCAACACUGCCGUGCUGUAUGAGGCAAAUUGUGGUCCCACCCGAUACUGACUGCUUUUCUGAUCCAUGCCCCUACAUUUUUUUUAAGUAUCUGUGACCAACAGAUGCAUAUCUGCAUUCCCAGUCAUAGGAAAUCCAUAGAUUAGGGCCUAAUGAAUUUAUUAAAUUUAACUAAUAUCUAAUAUACAUAUACAUUGACUAAUUUACAUGAACUGUAACUCAGUAAAAUCUUUGAAAUUGUUGCAUGUUGAGUUUAUAUUUUAAUUCAGUGUAUUAGUAUAUACAUUUCACAGAAUAUUAGAAUUAUACACUUUUUUUAAAGACUACUUUUACAAUAUAUUUGCUCUUGUAUUUCACUUUUUUUUUCAAUCAUGCACAAGAGGGCAUGAAUGCACAAGUAAACAGUUAUAGUCAACUCAUCCAUACAACCGUCUUUCAGCCUUCCUUUCAGCCUUAAAUAGUUUUGGGGCUCCCCAAUGUGUGAGUUCAAGGGACAAUCUGUGAUUGGUACAUACACUUUGGGAAUCUUAAAGAAUGUAACUUGCAAAUGCCUCGUGAGAUUAGUUGCUGUUGCUGUCUUUUUUAUUUGAUUUUUUAUUGUAAAAUAAUAAACAUAUAUAUUUUUUUUAAAGAGAUUAGUUGCCAAUAGAGAUUUUCAUCAUUCAUGUUUAAAUAAAGGUGUUGAAAUGGACA